rnacentral:rRNA from 1 species
UACGGGGGGGGCAAGCGUUGUUCGGAAUUACUGGGCGUAAAGGGCUCGUAGGCGGCCAACUAAGUCGGAUGUGAAAUCCCCAGGCUUAACCUGGGAACUGCAUCCGAUACUGGAUGGCUUGAAUUCGGGAGAGGGAUGCAGAAUUCCAGGUGUAGCGGUGAAAUGCGUAGAUAUCUGGAGGAAUACCGGUGGCGAAGGCGGCAUCCUGGACCGACAUUGACGCUGAUGAGCGAAAGCUAGGGGAGCAAACGGG